CCUCAUCUCUGAGAUGAGGAGAACCACCUGCUUACUGAGGAGUUGUGAGCAUUCAGCUUUCUACCUGCACAUGGUGGAAAUUGAAACACAGAAGCAUGGCUCUUGUUAGCCAUCGGAAAGGUAGCACACCCUGGAAAAAAUGGUUGUGCAGAUGCGUAGCUGGAUCAUUCCAGUCUGGGUGGGUCUAAGUGUUCAAAAUAUCUGAUGUUUUUUACAUUUUGAAUUAAUAGCAAUGGGAAAUGCCUUUCUUAACUCUUAAAUGCUUUGAAACUUUUCUUCAAAAUUAUCAUGUUCUUUAUUAGUCUUGUUGGGGGUAGUUUUUGAUUAUAAAAGUAAUAUAUGCUUCAUGGUAAACAAUUCAAACAAUAUAGACAGAUAUAAAAUAAGUAAAGGUCCUUUACUUUUCCAUCCAUGCCAUGAAACUGCUUUUUUGCUUUUGAUUGGUUUGUUGACUGGUGGGAUGAUUAGUCUGACUUUUGGCUUUCAAAUUCAAAAUGCUACUAUUUUUUAACAAUUGUUUGCGUUGUCUAGAGGGAAGAAUUCCUUUGACCAGUGGUCAACUUACUGAAUAAGACUGCUCCUGAACUAAACGGGGCCUCUGUGAUUUAAAAUACCUUCAGAGCUCUGGCUGCAAAGCUCCCCAACUCAAUAUAAAAGCAGAUUUUAAUUGGCUUGUGUUACGAAGGGCUCUAACAAGAGAGCCUGCCACUUUAAGGAAAUGCCACAGCCUGUGGUAAAAGCUCUCCGUGUGAGGGAGGCCUGCAGCUUGAUGUCACAGCUCAACUUUCCAACUUUGUUUCCAUAAGAAUGUUUGAUUGCAUGAUCAUAGAAAGUGAGGUUUACUAGUAUUUUCUUGUUUAGUUCUUGGAAGUCUAACUAUAGGCCUAAGAGAAUAAAUCUACUUGUGGGUUGUUGUGACUACUAUCAGAUUCCUGGGAAAAGAUAGAUUAAAAGGAAAAGUGAGUUUCAAAGAAAAUACUUUUAAUGAACCAAGACAGUGAAGUGACCUUUAAGUCCAAAUAUAGAGGUUUGCCUCUAAUUCUAAGCUGAUUCUUUGUUAAAAUAAUUUCAUCUAAAGUAAAAGAAACAGUCCAGUGUCAAACAGUUCUACUUAAUGAGUUGAAAUUAGUCAGUGCCCAGUUAAUGUAUCCUGAGUUGAUUUUUAGCUGUACCAACCUGUAUGGCCCUGCCAGUUACCAUGUUGAAAUACUUCUACCCCGUUGGGAAUAACGACUGGCCUGACUACCCCCAGUGAUGCCCACUGCCUCAGCCACCCUGUCUCUUUGCGAUUUACUGCUUCUACCAGAUGUUUUAUUGACCUUUCAUUAAUCUCCCAAAGAUAUAACAAACUAUUCUUUUAAGUUUUGAUCAUUUUGGGGGCUAUGAUUGUUUCUUGUCAUUUGGAAUGAAGCAGUAUGGUGUGAGAAUUUAGAACCUGGGCUCUGAACUCACCUCAGCCCUGCCUUUUACCUGUGUGACCUUAGGUAAGUCACUUAACCUAGGCAACCCUCAGUUUCAUCAUCAGUAAAGUAGGGAUGUUCACAAGAGUUAAUUACCUCUUAAAUGUGCUAAAAGCAUGAAGUGCUUAAUGCACAGUAUUCAGUAAAUCAUAGCCUAUUCUAAGAAUGGAAAGAGAGCCCAUAUGCUGGAGUGAAGGGAACACUAAGAAUGAGGUGGCGUGGAUGAGAUUGAGAGUUGAGCAGGAGCCAGAUAAGGCAGGGCUUUGUCAGCUGUGCUGAGGUUUUUGGACUUUAUUUUAAAUGCAUGGGAAAAACUGAAGGUAUUCAGAGCAGGGGAAUGCUGUGAUCUGAUUUACAUUUUGUCAAGAGCACUCUUUCUGCUGUGUGGAGGAUCCUCUGGAAGGUGGUGAGUGGCAGUAGGAGACGGAUUAGGAGACUGUAGUAGUAAUCCAAGCAAAAGAUGAGGAGACUUGGACAUGAGUGGUGGCAGUAAAGAAGUGGAUUGAUUUAAAAGAUAGUUCAGAGGUAGAACCAACUGUACCUGCUGAUGGCUUCUCUAUGGAUGAAAGAAAAGGAAUCAAAUAUGACUCUCAGGUUUCUGGCUUAAUCAGGUGGGUACAUAGCGAUGCCAUAUAGUGAGAUAGUAGAG
ensembl:lncRNA